AUACGGAGGAUGCGAGCGUUAUCCGGAUUUAUUGGGUUUAAAGGGUGCGUAGGCGGUUUGUCAAGUCAGCGGUGAAACGCAAGGGCUUAACCCUUGACCUGCCGUUGAAACUGAUUGACUAGAAUGCGGAUGCUGUGGGAGGAAUGUGUGGUGUAGCGGUGAAAUGCAUAGAUAUCACACAGAACACCGAUUGCGAAGGCAUCUCACAAAUCCGUGAUUGACGCUGAGGCACGAAAGUGUGGGGAACAAACAGGAUUAGAUCCCCUGGUAGUCCACACUGUAAACGAUGAUAGCUCGCGGUCGGCGAUACACAGUCGGUGGCCAAGCGAAAGCGAUAAGUUAUCCACCUGGGGAGUACGACCGCAAGGUUGAAACUCAAAUGAAUUGACGGGG
rnacentral:rRNA from 1 species